rnacentral:rRNA from 1 species
GAGUUUGAUCCUGGCUCAGAAUCAACGCUGGCGGCGCGCUUAACACAUGCAAGUCGCACGAGAAAGGGGAGCAAUCCCUGAGUAAAGUGGCGUACGGGUGAGUAACACGUGGGUAAUCCACCCUUUAGUGGGGAAUAACCCUGGGAAACCGGGGCUAAUACCGCAUAAGCCUGAGAAGGGAAAGCAGCAAUGCGCUGAAGGAGGAGCCCGCGGCCGAUUAGCUAGUUGGCGAGGUAAUGGCCCACCAAGGCGAUGAUCGGUAGCCGGCCUGAGAGGGCACACGGCCACACUGGCACUGAAACACGGGCCAGACUCCUACGGGAGGCAGCAGUGGGGAAUCUUGCACAAUGGGGGAAACCCUGAUGCAGCGACGCCGCGUGAGCGAUGAAGCCCUUCGGGGUGUAAAGCUCUUUCGUCAGGGACGAUAAUGACGGUACCUGGAGAAGCAGCUGCGGCUAACUACGUGCCAGCAGCCGCGGUAAUACGUAGGCAGCGAGCGUUGUUCGGAGUUACUGGGCGUAAAGGGUGUGUAGGCGGUUUUCUAAGUUUGGUGUGAAAUCUCCCGGCUCAACCGGGAGGGUGCGCCGAAAACUGGGAGACUAGAGUGCGGGAUGGGAGAGUAGAAUUCCUGGUGUAGCGGUGAAAUGCGUAGAUAUCAGGAGGAAUACCGGUGGUGUAGACGGCUCUCUGGACCGCCACUGACGCUGAGACACGAAAGCGUGGGUAGCAAACAGGAUUAGAUACCCUGGUAGUCCACGCCCUAAACGAUGCAUAUUUGGUGUAGGUCAUUCAGUUGAUCUGUGCCGGAGCUAACGCGUUAAAUAUGCCGCCUGGGGAGUACAGUCGCAAGGCUGAAACUCAAAGGAAUUGACGGGGGCCCGCACAGGCGGUGGAGCAUGUGGUUUAAUUCGACGCAACGCGAAGAACCUUACCAGCCCUUGACAUGGGGAGUAUGGGUUGCCGAGAGGUGAUCCUUCAGUUCGGCUGGCUCCCACACAGGUGCUGCAUGGCUGUCGUCAGCUCGUGUCGUGAGAUGUUGGGUUAAGUCCCGCAACGAGCGCAACCCUCGCCUCCAGUUGCCAUCAGGUUAAGCUGGGCACUUUGGAGGAACUGCCGGUGACAAGCCGGAGGAAGGUGGGGAUGACGUCAAGUCCUCAUGGCCCCUACGGGCUGGGCUACACACGUGCUACAAUGGCGGUGACAGAGGGAAGCGAAGGGGAGACCUGGAGCGAAUCUUAGAAAGCUGGUCGUAGUCCGGAUUGAAGUCUGCAACUCGACUUCAUGAAGUCGGAAUCGCUAGUAAUCGCGAAUCAGCAUGUCGCGGUGAAUACGUUCCCGGGCCUUGCACACAC